rnacentral:rRNA from 1 species
AACGAACGCUGGCGGCAUGCCUAACACAUGCAAGUCGAACGAGACCUUCGGGUCUAGUGGCGCACGGGUGCGUAACGCGUGGGAACCUGCCCUUAGGUUCGGAAUAACUCCCCGACAGGGGUGCUAAUACCGGAUAAUGUCUUCGGACCAAAGAUUUAUCGCCUUUGGAUGGGCCCGCGUUGGAUUAGCUAGUUGGUAGGGUAAAAGCCUACCAAGGCGACGAUCCAUAGCUGGUCUGAGAGGAUGAUCAGCCACACUGGGACUGAGACACGGCCUAGACUCCUACGGGAGGCAGCAGUGGGGAAUAUUGGACAAUGGGCGAAAGCCUGAUCCAGCAAUGCCGCGUGAGUGAUGAAGGCCUUAGGGUUGUAAAGCUCUUUUACCCGGGAUGAUAAUGACAGUACCGGGAGAAUAAGCUCCGGCUAACUCCGUG